rnacentral:lncRNA from 1 species
UGUGUUUCGCAAUGUUUUUUUUUCCUACAUCACAACGUUAAUCUGCCCAGGUGUGGGCAGGUUAGACAUGAUUGAAAAGACAUGAUUUUAAAGUUUAGUCACAGUGUUCAGGGUCACAAAAAACGUUUAUACUGUGAAAACAUACAAGGCAAACAGAGCAUGGAUCUCUAUGACAGAAUAGAAAUCUUCAUCCCAGCGGAGGCCGAGGUCAAGCGCAUCCCACUGUGGAGCCUACCAAACCCAGUGCUCAGAAGAAUGGGCCUCCCUGUGUCUGACUCUAAUGGCUCCAAGAAGCUCACAAACUCACCAAAGGGCACGUGGAUCUGUCCAGCAGUGGUUCGCAAAAAAGCUUUCAAGGGCCUGGCUUCAAAGACCUAUCAGACCGCUGUGGUCGUCUACGCCGGGCGCAUCUACCUGUCUGUCAGGAGGCCUGGUCGAGGCCAAGACCAGGCAGAGACAGCCCAGCCAUCUCCUCAGCCCACGCUGCCUGUACGCAGGCAGUGUAAGUCGCAGAAGAAGGAGCUGCCACCAGGCAAAAAGAAGCCCAAGAACACACCAUGUAAAGUAACGCACAAGAAAGGUUUAAAACACAGGAAUGUUUCCUCCUCCACGGAUGCUCACUCCGUCACCCAGUCCACUGUCGGCAUGCACAGCGCAGUCGGCCACUGUCACGAGGAUGCUAGAGCCAAGAAGAACCCACUGGAAGCAGGGGCCCAGGAGUCAACUAGGCACCAGCCUCAAGUGGAGGCAACCAACAGUGGCGGUAGUGAAUGUGUGAUGCGGGACGUGAGCAGCGGGGAAGCUGAGAGCGUCAGCCAGAACCACGACGUGGACAGCAACGUGCAGAGCGGCAGCGGGGACGUGGACCAAAGCUGCUCCCAAAGCUGGACCAGGAGGGAUGCGGUUGCAACCUUCCCCUCCCCGUCUUUAAAGAACAAGUUUGAUUUCAAGGAGCUGGCAGAGGAAGAGAUGAUCGGCCGAAUGAAAGCCAGGCUCAAGCAGAACGCCCAACAGUUACCAUCUGCUCAGUCUGACUGA